CCUUAAGUUGGCAAACCGCCAAUAAACAUAACAAGAAGAAGAACGUGCUCGCUAGCACAGUAACAUUUAAUAAUAAUGCCAUAAAGUGCAACGGAGAACAAUGUGAGCCUGUCAAGCUAGUUUAGCUUAGUUAGCAUACAUUUAAAGGUAAAAGAAAACACUUCGCUUAUAAGACAAGGCAGUAAGGAUCAAAAAGGGGUCAAAGUCACUCUUCAUCGAAGUUACAGCUUGCUGACCAGCCCCAAACCACCCCGUGUGCCAUCAGAUGUUUCCCCUGGUGGAUGUUAAUGGAGACACCUAGCUACUCCGUGAUCUCCCAUGACAGGUGUCCUACGGGUCCUGGUCACAUACAUUGACACAUGAACGGAGUGAGGUGAGCGUCAACGUGCAGUCACCACCGUGAGAAUAUCAAGUAACCCGAAAGACACUGUUUCUGCUGUUCUCAUUCAAAAACAGUUAAUCCCCGCCUAUGCACACAAAGUCACGACCAGACACUCUUCCAUCUACUCGGCACCGUCCAGGGAUGAUGACACUAUCUGUUUUCUCCCUAGCAAAUGAAGCCUUUAAAUUGCAGCACCAUAAACAAGUACCUGAUCAAAGCUCUGUGUCACAGAUUAUCUCCUUCAGAAACAAUGUACACUAGAAUUGACACAGGUAAAGCUGCAAAAUGUCAAGAAAACUUGGUUCUUCAUUGGUUUUCAGAUCAACUGUAGUACAAACACGUGAAAGACACGGUCUGGUAUUUGAAACAAAACGUCAA